GGAGAGAUGGUCGAGUGGUUUAAGGCUCCGGUCUUGAAAACCGGUGUAGGCGUAAGCCUACCGUGGGUUCGAAUCCCACUCUCUCCG
rnacentral:tRNA from 1 species